AUCUUUGCAAUCCCUAUUUUCAAAGACAUAAGCAAUUCAUCCAUUGUUUUCAGAGAUUUAUUCAGUUUUUUUCAAUACAGUGAAGAUAUCCUUUCUUACUCUUAUCUUAUUUGAUGUGUUUAUGCUUUCUUACUCAAUUAUGUUUUUUGUUUCAUCCAAUAUGUCUGAGUAGUUUGCUUGUUAGGAAUAGAGUUUCUCAGUAGGGAUUCAUAUGGUUUAGUAGAUCGCCCCCUUUGCUAGGUUAUCUGUAGAAUUCUUCAUCUUUGAUUAUACUUAAUGCUAGAUCUAGAGUAAUUAACUAGAUCUUGAAUCCAGACAAUAGAUAUGCCCACCAUAGGUAUCUGUAGUUGGAUCUUUUAUUUGAUGAGCCUGGUUUAUAGGUGUGUAAUAAGAAUCGGCCUAUCUACUAAGGUGAACAAUUGAACUCGUUUAGAAUGCAUGUUUAGGUUAAAAAUCUCUCGGCUUCUCCGGUUAUUCUUAGCUAUAAGCAUAGGGAGUUUCUCGGAACAC
rnacentral:sRNA from 1 species